GACGAACCGUGCGACCGUUGUUCGGAAUCACUGGGCUUAAAGGGCGCGUAGGCGGGCCCGCAAGUCAGGGGUGAAAUCCCACGGCUCAACCGUGGAAGUGCCUUUGAUACUGCGGGUCUGGAGGGAGGUAGGGGCGUGCGGAACUUCCGGUGGAGCGGUGAAAUGCGUAGAUAUCUGCAGGAACACCCGUGGCGAAAGCGGCGCGCUGGACCACUACUGACGCUGAGGAACGAAAGCUAGGGGAGCAAACAGG
rnacentral:rRNA from 1 species